rnacentral:lncRNA from 1 species
GCUAUUGGCAGGAGAAGCCUAAAGAGGCUGAUAAAAUGACUAGCUACACAGGACCCAGAGGGAUGUGCCACUCCACCUGGUUCCCGCCGCAUCUGCCCCCGAGGAGCCACUAGUCCCUUCUUCCUGGAACAGAUAAAUGCCAGCCAGCAUCCCUGUCUCUGGGGCCCUGGAGAGGCCUUCAACACACCUGGCCUCACUGCCCUGUGGCUUCAACAAAGAGGCCGAGCAUCUCCUAUAAACCUUGAGGUCCAUGGAUGACGUAGCAGAAUGAUGGAUUUCAGAAAAGACACAAUGAACAGAAACCAGAGCUUUUGAAUACAGAUUUCCAGUAAAACCAAACCCAGCCUGGGUCAGAUGCACCUUUCCAGCUGUCGACCGGAAGUUCAGCUUCCGGGAACUUCAGCCCCCUUCUCAGAGGAGCAAGGUCCUAGCACCAACAGCACCUGCAGUGGAGCCCAAGUAUGGCUGCUUCAUGGAGAAGGUAUCUGUUUGCGUGCACAACUGUGAGUGCUUGCAUCUCGUGUAUUCGAAAAUCCUGUUUAAGAAUGCAGAGGUCCAUACAGUGUCAUUAAAACAAAUGAGUAUAA